AUUGAACGCUGGCGGCAUGCUUUACACAUGCAAGUCGAACGGCAGCACGGGUGCUUGCACCUGGUGGCGAGUGGCGGACGGGUGAGUAAUACAUCGGAACGUGUCCUGAAGAGGGGGAUAACGCAUCGAAAGAUGUGCUAAUACCGCAUAUGCUCUGAGGAGGAAAGUGGGGGAUCGAAAGACCUUACGCUUUUGGAGCGGCCGAUGUCUGAUUAGCUAGUUGGUGGGGUAAGGGCCUACCAAGGCGACGAUCAGUAGUUGGUCUGAGAGGACGACCAGCCACACUGGGACUGAGACACGGCCCAGACUCCUACGGGAGGCAGCAGUGGGGAAUUUUGGACAAUGGGCGCAAGCCUGAUCCAGCAAUGCCGCGUGAGUGAAGAAGGCCUCGGUUGUAAGUACGUCUUCUAGUCGUAGAGAAAA
rnacentral:rRNA from 1 species